rnacentral:rRNA from 1 species
GAUGAACGCUGGCGGCGUGCCUAAUACAUGCAAGUCGAGCGAAUGGAUUAAGAGCUUGCUCUUAUGAAGUUAGCGGCGGACGGGUGAGUAACACGUGGGUAACCUGCCCAUAAGACUGGGAUAACUCCGGGAAACCGGGGCUAAUACCGGAUAACAUUUUGAACCGCAUGGUUAGAAAUUGAAAGGCGGCUUCGGCUGUCACUUCUGGAGGUACCCGCGUCGCAUUAGCUAGUUGGUGAGGUAACGGCUCACCAAGGCAACGAUGCGUAGCCGACCUGGGAGGGUGAUCGGCCACACUGGGACUGAGACACGGCCCAGACUCCUACGGGAGGCAGCAGUAGGGAAUCUUCCGCAAUGGACGAAAGUCUGACGGAGCAACGCCGCGUGAGUGAUGAAGGCUUUCGGGUCGUAAAACUCUGUUGUUAGGGAAGAACAAGUGCUAGUUGAAUAAGCUGGCACCUUGACGAUACCUAACCAGAAAGCCACGGCUAACUACGUGCCAGCCGCCGCCGUAA